CCUACGGGCGGCAGCAGUGGGGAAUAUUGCACCAUGGGGGGAACCCUGAUGCAGCGACGCCGCGUGAGUGAAGCAGUAUCUCGGUACGUAAAGCUCUAUCAGCAGGGAAGAAAAUGACGGUACCUGACUAAGAAGCCCCGGCUAACUACGUGCCAGCAGCCGCGGUCAUACGGAGGGGGCAAGCGUUAUCCGGAUUUACUGGGUGUAAAGGGAGCGUAGACGGCACUGCAAGUCCGGAGUGAAAGCCCAAGGCUUAACCAUGGGACUGCUCUGGAAACUGUGUAGCUUGAGUGCGGGAGGGGCAGGCGGAAUUCCUGGUGUAGCGGUGAAAUGCGUAGAUAUUAGGAGGAACACCGGCGGCGAAGGCGGCCUGCUGGACCGUAACUGACGUUGAGGCUCGAAAGCGUGGGGAGCAAACAGGAUUAGAUACCCUUGUAGUC
rnacentral:rRNA from 1 species